rnacentral:sRNA from 1 species
UAACAUCAAAUGUCAUCAUGUUAUAGUC